rnacentral:lncRNA from 1 species
ACAAUGUCCUCAGCUCUCCAUCAAGACCUCCUUUAGAUCCACAACAAUUUGCAAUGUGGCAUUUCCUCCUAAGCAUGUUGUAAGGAAAAGAGGUCACAAUUUGUGGCAUUUCCUCCUGAGCAUGUUGUAAGGAAAAGAGGUCACAAUUUGUGGCAUUUCCUCGAGCAUGUUGUAAGGAAAAAGAGGCCAUGUGUAGUACUCAUCAGAAAUAACAGAAGCUAAAAUUUCCACACACGAUCGCUUUCGCAGUCCCUGAAGUGCUAGUAUUGCAGUUCAGUAAUUCACCAUCAACAUCGACGCAGAAAGUCACCAUCAACAUGACUGCAAACUCAGUAAAUUCAGCAUCACCCAAAAGCCCAAAGUUACAGUUUCUGCUUCCCUGCAGAACAUGCUACCUUAUUACCUAGUCCGCAAAGACCUUGUCCUCGAGCUGGAACGCCUUGGUGAAGAAUGCCGGCCAGCAGAG